GAUGAAUGCUGGCGGCGUGCCUAAUACAUGCAAGUCGAGCGAACAGAUAAGGAGCUUGCUCCUUUGACGUUAGCGGCGGACGGGUGAGUAACACGUGGGUAACCUACCUAUAAGACUGGAAUAACUCCGGGAAACCGGGGCUAAUGCCGGAUAACAUUUAGAACCGCAUGGUUCUAAAGUGAAAGAUGGUUUUGCUAUCACUUAUAGAUGGACCCGCGCCGUAUUAGCUAGUUGGUAAGGUAACGGCUUGCCAAGGCAACGAUACGUAGCCGACCUGAGAGGGUGAUCGGCCACACUGGAACUGAGACACGGUCCAGACUCCCACGGGAGGCAGCAGUAGGGAAUCUUCCGCAAUGGGCGAAAGCCUGACGGAGCAACGCCGCGUGAGUGAUGAAGGUCUUCGGAUCGUAAAACUCUGUUAUUAGGGAAGAACAAAUGUGUAAGUAACUGUGCACGUCUUGACGGUACCUAAUCAGAAAGCCACGGCUAACUACGUG
rnacentral:rRNA from 1 species